rnacentral:rRNA from 1 species
ACGGAGGGGGCUAGCGUUGCUCGGAAUCACUGGGCGUAAAGCGCACGUAGGUGGAUUCUUAAGUCAGGGGUGAAAUCCUGGAGCUCAACUCCAGAACUGCCUUUGAUACUGGGAAUCUUCGAGUCCGGGAGAGGUGGGUGGAACUGCGAGUGUAGAGGUGAAAUUCGUAGAUAUUCGCAAGAACACCAGUGGCGAAGGCGGCUCACUGGCCCGGUACUGACACUGAGGUGCGAAAGCGUGGGGAGCAAACAGGA